UACGUAGGGCGCGAGCGUUGUCCGGAAUUAUUGGGCGUAAAGAGCUCGUAGGCGGCCUGUCGCGUCGGUUGUGAAAGCCCGGGGCUCAACCCCGGGUCUGCAGUCGAUACGGGCAGGCUAGAGUUCGGUAGGGGAGAUCGGAAUUCCUGGUGUAGCGGUGAAAUGCGCAGAGAUCAGGAGGAACACCGGUGGCGAAGGCGGAUCUCUGGGCCGAUACUGACGCUGAGGAGCGAAAGCGUGGGGAGCGAACAGG
rnacentral:rRNA from 1 species